rnacentral:rRNA from 1 species
UUUGAACGCUGGCGGCAGGCCUAACACAUGCAAGUCGAGCGGUAGCACAGGGAGCUUGCUCCUGGGUGACGAGCGGCGGACGGGUGAGUAAUGUCUGAGAAACUGCCUGAUGGAGGGGGAUAACUACUGGAAACGGUAGCUAAUACCGCAUAACGUCGCAAGACCAAAGAGGGGGACCUUCGGGCCUCUUGCCAUCAGAUGUGCCCAGAUGGGAUUAGCUAGUAGGUGGGGUAACGGCUCACCUAGGCGACGAUCCCUAGCUGGUCUGAGAGGAUGACCAGCCACACUGGAACUGAGACACGGUCCAGACUCCUACGGGAGGCAGCAGUGGGGAAUAUUGCACAAUGGGCGCAAGCCUGAUGCAGCCAUGCCGCGUGUAUGAAGAAGGCCUUCGGGUUGUAAAGUACUUUCAGCGGGGAGGAAGGCGAUAAGGUUAAUAACCUUGUCGAUUGACGUUACCCGCAGAAGAAGCACCAGCUAACUCCGUGCCAGCAGCCGCCGUAA